GAUCAAUUUUAGGGUUUACCACACUUUAUGAGCUCCCCAGUUUCUCCCAUUUUAGGGUAAUUGAAGUUUCGUAGAUCGCUAGAGAAUUCUGAUAAGAGUCCCUCCGGUUGUUAGCUAUACAGGAGGAUACGAUCCAAAAUUCCGAAGACAAAGGACCUCCGAGGGUUACGGUUUACAGGGAUAAGGAGAUGAGUCGAAGCAGAGGCUUCAGGUUGUGGUAAACCGGGACCAGCCGGUUACAUAGGCGAGUUAGCGGGCGGCGGCUGGUCGUAUUUGUGGUGCUUCGAUUGCUCACGAUAAGAAGAAGACAUGUCUGCGCCGGAGAGUCCUCUUGUCCCUGCAGCUCCCACGAAGAAACCCAAACCCGUCUUAGACAGAAGUCGCGGUCCUCCUUUUAAUAUCGAAGCAAGGUUUCCAAGUGAAGCUUAUCCUAUUGAAGCAAUCAUCGAAAACGAAGAAUUGGACUUCCUUCUAGAUAUUUACUAGUAGGCUUCUGCAGAAGGAAGAUGGACCUGCGACCGACAUCGACGGUUACCCCCUAUUUGUGCGCAACAGAUUAUACACCUUGAAAGAUAUCAAGGACGAGUUUGAGAAGCAGAUGGUUUCUGGUAUCUUAUCACUCCUGACCCAUCUGAUUAGGUUUAAGGAAUUGAGUUCGCCUGAAUCGAGCAUUUCCACUCUUGCUAAGAACCAUCUUUUGCCUAGUAGGAUCUAUCAGAAAUGUGUGACAUUGUUCCGUAAUAGAAGAUCCCUCAGCCCCACGAUACCUGCUGCUAAACUCAAACAUCUGAUAAAGUACGUUCUUGUGCUCACCCUACAUGUGGAUAAGUUCAAGACCGACCCAGAAGACAUAGCUAAAGAUCUGGGCUUGAGUACAUCAGCACUGAGGACGUAUUUUAAGGAACUUGGCUGCAUAUUCGUGUGUGAGGAAUCGAUUGCACUUGCCACCUUACCAGUGCCUCUCAAGCUUGGGGUAAAGAAGAGAAGACAUGAUUCAUGAUGACGAUCGUGGACAAGAGUUGUUAGAGUUUCCCCAUGUUUUUUUCUUUUGGUUUUAUUUGGCUGUCGAGAUAUUAUUAAAAAGCAAAGCUUCUUUUUUAAAAAAGAGACAUUGUUUCGUUGGUUUA